rnacentral:lncRNA from 1 species
CCGUGACCGUACAUUGUCAAAUUUAGGGUUCUAGAGCAAAAUAUUUCUUGGCGGACGCUCGCGGUGGCGGCGGCGGUGGCGGCGGCAAUCUCUCCGUUCUCGUGCACGCUGGAGGUGCGGCGUUGUAGCCUGUCCAUGGCGCGGCGAUGCUAGAUUGCUGCUAGGAUUCUCUGCUGAUCAAUCCGAGAAGGCGGAGAAGGAGAAGAACAAGAAGCACGGGGAUCACUCUGCUAAAGACUAAGUCAAGAACAAGGAGCAGUCGGCUCGGCGCGGCUUGUGAUGGCGGUGCUGGUGAAGCGAGCAAUUUCGGCCAAAGGUGAGCGUCUAGAGUGUCGUUGAGUGCUUUCAUGGAUAUUCUCACCCUGGCAACCAGAACUAUAGAAGAAUUUGGCGCAGUGGCUUGUCUUUAUUGCUGGAACUCCUCCUUCCUGUGCUGCGUGUGUGUGUGGAGGAUUUGUGGCCAGCCGGCCACUCCGACACGUUAGCGAACUUACUUAUAUCUCGACCGCCAGUGUUUUCUCAUUUCCUUCCUGCGAGCUAUGGCAGGAGGUAGCGAUUCAAGAUCUCUAGAGUUAACUCCUACAUGGCCAUGUGUACGUUGUUCGUUCGUGACGAUCUUUCAUUCAGUGGCUAUCCAGAACAAAGAGGAAACCCCUCUAUGGUUUGUUUGUUCAAUCAGGCUCUGUUGCAAUGUUGUUUCAGAGUUGAUGCUUCUUCCUCAUCACCAUAACUGCGUCUUUCCUUUUUUAAUAAGCAACGCAUGCCUUGUCACCUCCCAUCCUCCGGGAAAGGGGCUGAUCACUUGUUCGUAAGCAAUCGGCGGCGGGAAGUCGCUUCACUAGAAAACACUUGCUCGGAGGUUUGUAGAUUCAUUCAAUUGGCUCGGGUCUCGUUCGUAAACUCCUGUCCUUUGUCCAGGGCUACGAACCAUUUAUCUCUUUCCUGGGCCUUGAGAAACUACACAUAUGUCAGUUGCCAAACUCGUCGUCGUCUUCUUUUGUUUGACAAGCGUACUUUGGCAGCAUGCCGGUUCUCAUUCUCUCAACCUCGAAAAUGUUGUAUACUCUGGUUCAAUGGCGCAUAUUGAGCAGCAAAAUGGUAGGAUUCUUAACGAUCAUCCGCGCUAUUGCAAUUCGUUGCUUUUGACCACCAGUGAAGAAGAUAAUGUUACAAACAACACAUCUAUUAAACACAAAACGAAAUACCUUAAUCCAACAGUAUCCUUGAACUCGUCCUCCAACGACCGAAUCAUGUAGCUGU